GAAAUGCGAUAAGUAGUGUGAAUUGCAGAAUUCAGUGAAUCAUCGAAUCUUUGAACGCACAUUGCGCCCUAUGGUAUUCCGUAGGGCAUGCCUGUUCGAGCGUCAUUUACACCUUCAAGCCUUGCUUGGUGUUGGGUGACUGUGGCCCCUUUGGGGCCACUCGCCUUAAAGUCAUUGGCGGCCGGUUCGUUGGCUUUGUAGCGCAGCACAAUUGCGUCCCCGAAGCCGCUGGACCAGCUCCCAGAAGCUAAUUUUAAAUGUUUGACCUCGAAUCAGGUAGGGAUACCCGCUGAACUUAAGC
rnacentral:misc_RNA from 1 species